rnacentral:rRNA from 1 species
AGUUUGAUCAUGGCUCAGAAUCAACGCUGGCGGCGUGCCUAACACAUGCAAGUCGCACGAGAAAGUGGAGCAAUCCAUGGGUAAAGUGGCGUACGGGUGAGUAACACGUGACUAACCUACCCUCGAGUGGGGAAUAACCUAGGGAAACCUGGGCUAAUACCGCAUAACAUCUUCUGGCUGAGAUGCCGGUUGAUCAAAGUAGCAAUGUGCUUGAGGAGGGGGUCGCGGCUGAUUAGCUAGUUGGUGAGGUAACGGCCCACCAAGGCUAUGAUCAGUAGCCGGCCUGAGAGGGCGCACGGCCACACUGGAACUGAAACACGGUCCAGACUCCUACGGGAGGCAGCAGUGGGGAAUUUUGCGCAAUGGGGGAAACCCUGACGCAGCAACGCCGCGUGGAGGAUGAAGUCCCUUGGGACGUAAACUCCUUUCGAUCGGGACGAUUAUGACGGUACCGGAAGAAGAAGCCCCGGCUAACUUCGUGCCAGCAGCCGCGGUAAUACGAGGGGGGCAAGCGUUGUUCGGAAUUAUUGGGCGUAAAGGGUGCGUAGGCGGUGCGGUAAGUCUGAUGUGAAAUCUCCGGGCUCAACUCGGAGUCUGCACCAGAAACUGCCGUGCUGGAGUGUGGGAGAGGUGAGUGGAAUUCCCGGUGUAGCGGUGAAAUGCGUAGAUAUCGGGAGGAACACCUGCGGCGAAAGCGGCUCACUGGACCAUAACUGACGCUGAUGCACGAAAGCUAGGGGAGCAAACAGGAUUAGAUACCCUGGUAGUCCUAGCCCUAAACGAUGAUCGCUUGGUGUGACAGGUACCCAAUCCUGUCGUGCCGGAGCUAACGCGUUAAGCGAUCCGCCUGGGGAGUACGGUCGCAAGGCUGAAACUCAAAGGAUUUGACGGGGCCCGCACAAGCGGUGGAGCAUGUGGUUCAAUUCGACGCAACGCGAAGAACCUUACCUGGGCUCCGAAAUGUAGUGGAAUGAGGUGG